CAACUUGAGAGUUUGAUCCUGGCUCAGAACGAACGCUGGCGGCAGGCUUAACACAUGCAAGUCGAGCGCCUCGCAAGAGGAGCGGCAGACGGGUGAGUAACGCGUGGGAAUCUACCGUACCCUACGGAAUAGCUCUGGGAAACUGGAAGUAAUACCGUAUACGCCCCCCUUUA
rnacentral:rRNA from 1 species